GGGUUAUCACAAGAUAGCUACAAGACUCAUACAAUGGUGUGCUUUUAAUCUUCAUAUUGGCUGUCCUGUAUGUUUACAAAAAAAAACCAGUUUUCCAGGUAAUAAUAAAGUGAACAAUCAAAUAAAGUGUAGGUUUAAAAUAAGUGUAUUAGGUUUGAGUUGUUUUAUUGAUUGUUUUUUUAAGGUACUGUAACGAAAUGGGGGGUCCCUUGAAAUGGAACUUGUUUUCCCUAAAAUUGUGUGAUGAUGUUUUUAAACCUUACCAUUAAUUGACUGUUCUUUUUAUAUAUUUCUUGUAUAACUAUGUUUAAACAUUGUAAACUUUUAUUAUUCUUUCCUAUGUUUUUUUUCCAAUCGGAACACCUGUGAAUUGUUUACUUAAAAUGACGUACAAUACAAUGACGUCAUAACCUAUUUUUGUAAUGACGUCGGCUCUGGAUAAGGUAAUUUAGGUAAAUGGUAAGCCAAAAUGGUGAACGGUAAGCCAAAUCGGUAGAUUGGUUUACCUAAGUAUAAAUACGGCGGAGAAAACAGAUAAGACUCCAGUACGACUUUACCCUGGGCAAGUAACACACGCA
rnacentral:lncRNA from 1 species